GGCGGGAUAGCACAGUGGUAGAGCACAUGCUCAGCAUGCAUGGGGCCCUGAGUUCAAUCCCCAGUACCUCCG
rnacentral:tRNA from 1 species